rnacentral:misc_RNA from 1 species
GAUGAAGAACGUAGCGAAAUGCGAUAAGUAAUGUGAAUUGCAGAAUUCAGUGAAUCAUCGAAUCUUUGAACGCACAUUGCGCCCUCUGGUAUUCCGGGGGGCAUGCCUGUUCGAGCGUCAUUAUAACCACUCAAGCUCUCGCUUGGUAUUGGAGUUCGCGAUCUCGCGGCUCCUAAAAUCAGUGGCGGUGCCUGUCGGCUCUACGCGUAGUAAUACUCCUCGCGAUUGAGUCCGGUAGGUUUACUUGCCAGCAACCCCCAAUUUUUACAGGUUGACCUCGGAUCAGGUAGGGAUACCCGCUGAACUUAAGCAUAUCAAAAGGGAGGA